AUGGCGGGUGGGGCCGUAGAGUAGGGCUGGCCGCCGCUUUCUCCUGUGGACCGAGGCUGCUGACGGGAAAACGAUCCGGGAGGGAGGCGUCCGCGCCCAGGCCCCUUUCCCUGAAAGUCUGCGGCAUCUUAGAGCCGAGUAAACCAGACAGAACGUUGAAGUUCGCAGACCUCAGCCUUCGAGGCCUCUCUGCCCGCUGCCGGCUUUGAGUCCUCUGGCGUCACUUAGCCUGGCCUCGGUUUCCCCACUCUUGUAGACGGCUUGUGGCCUGAGAGUGGCCGCGAAGAAGAGUUCACGUCACAACCACUACGUGCCUAGUGAGUUUUUUGAGCAUCCAAGUCACGCCCUUGCCCUCAGGGAGCCGGGUGCCUAGUGGCGGCUCUGAGCAAGAUGGAAGUUCCGCGGUGGUGUAGCGCCAGGGCCCGGAGUGCGCCCCUCCUGGUGGCUUGGCCGCACUGCCUGCGUGGGCUCCAGCCUCGGCUUCCUCAUCAGCGCACAGAAUGUGCUUCACAGGUGCAAACACAGACCAUGCGACUCAGGGGGCAUAGCUGGAGAACAGAAUCCAGUUCCUCUCCGACCGGCUAGGGAAAAGGGAUAUGAUGAUUAAUUGAUUAAGCACACUCCCUUUGAUCCUUGUCUUGCCUUAGAAAAGGCUUCCUCAGGCUUCCUUUCCCCAUCUUUUUAGUUGGUAGUGUUUUAGAAAGGCUAGGAAACAUUGAUUUUUCUGAAUUCACUCUUACAUUAAGUCCUGUUCUGAUGAUGAAGAAGGAAACUUGAUUGAUCUGCAUUUGGGGCAGUUAUUAGUGUACUGGAUUAAUUUGGAAUAAACUUGUCAGUACUCAACAGGAGAGCUGGCAAAAAAGCAGAUGUUCAACUGUUAGUGUGGCUCUCUGUUGAAGGCUUGAAAAAUAUUCGUGUUCUGUACUGUGUUAGCUUCCUGGUCUCAAUAAUACCCACCCCUACCUCCAUUGUCACUAGGGUGGUCCUUAUAAACUAUUGUUAAUUCUUUUUUUGAGACAUUUUUGACCUUAAUGUCACCUUUUCCUACCAGUAACCACUUUAAGAUCCUGUUGCUGCAAGAGUUCAGGGAAAAUCCAUUUGUAAUAUUUAGAGGAUGACCACACCCUGACUUCUGCAGAGUGUUGAGUAAAUCAAACUACUGUUUGUUGUUUUUUUUUUUUUUUUUUUUUUUUUUUUUUUUUUUCUGGAAAAAACCUGCAGCUGAAACUGAGAUUAGGAAUAAAGAAAACCAGCUGGAUCUUGUCCCUUAAUGCCAGUGAUAGUUUCUGUUUGUGGUCUGUUUGUCAUUCAGCACGCUUUGGGAGAAUGUGACUAGCUUUUUGUAAGCCUACCGUGGUAUGCUCUACGUGAUCCCUUGCAUCCAAGAUAUGCACAGGUAACUGAUUGAUCCUGACCUCCUUAAGUGACUGACAGGUGGGCUGUCAGUGGGCUGCCCACAGGUAGAUCCUUAUUGGAAAAACUGGCCAUUUGGUUGAUAUUAUCUGUGAAUAAUAAUUUUAGAAUUUAUUACUGAAAGCACAUGAGGUAUUCCAGGGCUUGACUUUUUCAUUUAUUUUCAUCUUUUCAUUUCUGUAUUUUAUACAGUUGUUAUAGAAUUUGUGUGCUAAUGUUACAGUUUCUUGAAUUUGGCUUAAAAGAGCUAGCUGUCCUUGGUCUCACUAUUUCAGUUCAAAAUAAAUUAUUUAACAGAGUAUAAUAUGUUGAAUAACUGCAACAAUCAUAAUAAACAUUGAUAAUGUACCAUUUUCAUUUAAUAUUUAUGUUUAUCAUUUAUAUCCAUUAUUUUAUUUCACCAUUUUGAACACUGGGGAAUAAAAUAGUGUGUUUCCACCUCAGGAAAUUUUUAACUUGGUUUUCUCUAUUUUUUUUUUUUAAGAGAAAAGAAUCUUCCUGAAAAGUGAUGCCUUUUGUUGUGAUAGAAAUCUAGAAUGCUUAUAAUGUUUCAUUGAGAAGCAGUAGUCUCCUUUAACAUUUUUAUUGUUUUUUUCCUUUCUUUCAAAUGCAGUGAAAACCUCUGUCAAUGUUAGUGUGGCCCUUAGCCAAAGCCAAUCAUUUAUUACUUUAUAAAGAAGUGAAAAUUUUAAUUUAACACAUAGCAAGUAUUUAAGCUCAUAUACUUGCUAUUGUAUGACAAGGAUUUUAAAACAAGGGUUUUAGACGUCAAAGGCAUAGUAAAUUUGUGUUUAUCCUGUGCUUUGUUAAAAGUUAAUUUAAAAAUAUAGGAAAUUAGUAGUAGUAGUUAGCACUGAUGGAUAAAAAUAAGCCAUUAGACUGAGCAACAUGGAUUAAUGAUACGUGUGUGUGUAUGUAUAUAUGUAUAUAAUGAUGUAUAUGUAUAUGUAUCAUUGAUUUACAGAAUACUUUCGCUUUAUCUCCUCUAAUCAGUUAUCCAGUAUCUCUUUGGUAUUGGCUUUGCUUAACCCAUUGAAG
rnacentral:lncRNA from 1 species